CAAAUUUAAUCAAGAAACAAUCUAUGAUUUUACAAUGUAGAAUUUUAAUUGUGACAUCAUUGACAGAUCUUGAUAGAUCUACAAAGAGCGGCGAAAACUUUAUUCAAUUUGACUUGCGUGUCCGAAUGGUGUGGGUAUAGAAAAUGAAAUCUAGAUCCUUGUGAUUGUCAAAAGAGUUGAGCCGAAGCCUGCUUGAACAAACCGUUCUGUCUGAAAGAGGUCCAAGUCAAUGCCUAUGUAAGACAUUGCUGUUUCCGAUCGCAUGGACUAGAAUACAUGGCCGAAGGCCGAGCAAACCGGGAACACCCCGCCAUUUCCCUAUGUUUUACCAAGCUAACCGUGCAGGACUCGCCAUUAUUGUAACGGUUCCUUGAGGAACGGCACAUGGAUUAUCGACAGGGACGUGGAAACUUUCAACUCCGCACCGUGCAAUGGGAAAGCUCUCGCAUUCCCUUGGACACUCCCACAGGAGUUUUGUUUUGCUAUUCAUUUAGCCUAAUUACUUCCUUAAGUAAUCGUUUCCACCCAGUGUGCCACUUUGAGGCAGAAUAGCGUACCCUUGGAAAUCUAGAUCUACUUGUUUUAUAGCGCUCGUCAUUCUUUAUAUUGACCUAGGUCAGAUAGUAGUCUAGAUUAUGCUGACAAUAAAUGCGUAUUAUAGCCACGGGAAAUAUGCAUUCCUCGUUAAUCUUCGGACUCGAAGAGAAGCCUUAUUAUUGUAGAAGAAACAAUUAAUUGACUAGAUCUAGAAAAGUGAAGACUGUGUGUGGAAGUUUGCCAGAGGCAAGCUUUGGAUUUCUUUCAUAGAGCAAGGGACAACACUCUCAAUACCUUUUGAUAUCAUUCCAACACCUAUAGCUGUGGUGAGACUAUUUCGAGGUCUCAGGAAUGUAUUUCUUAUCAAUUGGUAAUCAUGCAUCACAUGCCCUCAGAUAUGUACACAAAAUGAAGUUUGAGGAGAAAGAGAAAGGAUCAAGAUGAUUUACAAGACACUAAAGUUAUCUAUCAACUAUACUCAAUGUAUGAAUGACUUGCAGCCAGACUAGAAUUAUAGAGAAAGAUGUUUUUCUGCUGGCUAAACAUGUAUGGAUUGUUUUGAGUUUUGCAAGUGCUGCUGUUGUCUAGGCAAUUCUGGCCAGUAGUUCCGGUUUUGGUUUCUUCAUCUGAGACAAAAACUCCAAGGGUCUGUUCCAUCACAUCCAGUCAAUAAAGGAAUAAUAUCUAUGAUGUCAGACAACAAUAAAGAUCCAUUUCUGUAGAAGAAGAUCUCACUACCAUGAACACUCUAGGGCUAGGGAGACAUGAACUACAUGAAGACAAUUUUGGGAUGGAGGAAACCACACAGAGACUUCAAUGGGGAACAAAAGUCAAAUGGAGUGUGUUCAAAGUUAGCAUUCAAUUCUUGUCACUCAAUUCUCCAUGAUAUGUUUACAGGGAGACUAAACAUUUUUGGACAUGAUGCCAGUAAAAUGAGAAAAUAGAGUGGAAGAGAGUCCAUAGUUUGUUUUGCUCCCGAUUCAAUAGAGAACAAAGUUAAGAUUAGCGAUGGAGAUAAAAGGAAUCUCUAAAACAAUAAUUCUUAUCAAAAUCCAACAAUCUCUAUUCAAACUAUUAAUCUAAGCAGUAACAUGACAACUAAGUUGAAGAUAAUUACUUCCUAGUCCAAACCUCCCGCAGGACGACGGGGGAUGGGAGCUGGCAGGGUUUGAACCCUGGACCAUCGAUAAAUCUGAACGACAGUCCAGCGUGCAAACCGCAUGACCAGGCAGCCAGCUCACGUGAGGACAGUUUUCAACACUAGAGUUACAGUACUAGUCCUCGGUGGAAUCAAGGAGUCAUUAAAGAAUCUUUCUGGAAGAUCAAAUCAAUACAAGCACUGAACAGCAGACAGGAAUGGAAAAUAUGGCCAAUAGAUCUUGUGUGGUGCCCCAAUGGUCAAACAACUAAGGGAUAGAUAAUGAUGCAGAGAAUUUCCUGGUGAUCAAGAAUUAGGAGCUGCACACAGUUUAAUGAAACUAUAUUUUAGGAACAGAUAGAAAACAAAGAACUGCAGCAAAGAUGGCCUGUUUUUAUUCUUCUUCAUG